UACGGAGGGUGCGAGCGUUGUCCGGAAUCACUGGGCGUAAAGGGCGCGUAGGCGGCAUGCCAAGCGUGUGGUGAAAGCCCGGGGCUCAACCCCGGGUCGGCCGUGCGGACUGGCGUGCUCGAGCACUGUAGGGGCGGGUGGAAUUCCGGGUGUAUCGGUGGAAUGCGUAGAGAUCCGGAAGAACACCGGUGGCGAAGGCGGCCCGCUGGGCAGGAAGGCUCGCAAGAGCCGGCUGACGCUGAGGCGCGACAGCGUGGGGAGCAAACAGG
rnacentral:rRNA from 1 species